UACGAAGGGGGCUAGCGUUGCUCGGAAUCACUGGGCGUAAAGCGCACGCAGGCGGUUUGUUAAGUCGGGGGUGAAAUCCUGGAGCUCAACUCCAGAACUGCCUUCGAUACUGGCGAUCUUGAGUCCGGGAGAGGUGAGUGGAACUCCGAGUGUAGAGGUGAAAUUCGUAGAUAUUCGGAAGAACACCAGUGGCGAAGGCGGCUCACUGGCCCGGUACUGACGCUGAGGUGCGAAAGCGUGGGGAGCAAACAGG
rnacentral:rRNA from 1 species